CAGAAAAUCGAGUAAUUCUAGCUUCGGUGCACCGAAAUUAAUCUACAUAUGUACAUACAUACAUACAUAUAUGUAUGUACCUUUGAAGAUUUAUUAAAAAAGUAAAUAUACAUAUAUGCAUAUGUAUAUAUAUACAAAAAGAGUUUGUUUCAAAGAUACCGAAGAUUGGAGACCUGGCUGCUUUGUAAAAAUGCAGCGUGAUACAUCCUCUUAUUUUUUCAAUUGCUUGUUUUGAAGCAAAACGACAGCAGAAGUUUCGUGAUCUAAGAAGAUCCAUACAUCUUAGAUGCAACACUUGUGUGUCUAACAUGUCUGACGAACUAUUCGUGAAGUCAUUUCGGAUCGAUACACAAACUUUCAAAACGAUUUUGGAGAAAGAUGAUAUAUGCUUUCCCCUGGAUAUAAAGAACAUAGCGGGAAUUUUAAAAUACAAAAUUAAUUUGCUGCACUUA